UUUUAGAAAUUAAUUUAAAGUCUAACCUGCCCACUGAAUAAUUUUAAAUGGCCGCAGUAUCCUAACUGUGCAAAGGUAGCAUAAUCAUUAGUCUUUUAAUUGAAGGCUGGAAUGAAUGGUUGGAUGAAAUAUUAACUGUUUCAUAAAAAUUUAUAAUAGAAUUUUAUUUUUUAGUUAAAAAGCUAAAAUAUUAUUAAAAGACGAGAAGACCCUAUAAAUCUUUAUAUUUAAAUUAUUUUAAUUAUUUAGAUAAAUUAAAUUAUAAUUAUUUUAAAUAUUUUAUUGGGGUGAUAUUAAAAUUUAAUAAACUUUUAAUUUAUUAUAAACAUAAAUUAAUGAAUUAUUGAUCCAUUUAUUAUGAUUAAAAAAUUAAGUUACUUUAGGGAUAACAGCGUAAUUUUUUUAGAGAGUUCAUAUUGAUAAAAA
rnacentral:rRNA from 1 species